rnacentral:rRNA from 1 species
UAGGGAAUCUUCGGCAAUGGACGCAAGUCUGACCGAGCAACGCCGCGUGAGUGAAGAAGGUUUUCGGAUCGUAAAACUCUGUUGUUAGAGAAGAACAAGGAUGAGAGUAGAAUGUUCAUCCCUUGACGGUAUCUAACCAGAAAGCCACGGCUAACUACGUGCCAGCAGCCGCGGUAAUACGUAGGUGGCAAGCGUUGUCCGGAUUUAUUGGGCGUAAAGCGAGCGCAGGCGGUUUCUUAAGUCUGAUGUGAAAGCCCCCGGCUCAACCGGGGAGGGUCAUUGGAAACUGGGAAACUGGAGUGCAGAAGAGGAGAGUGGAAUUCCAGGUGUAGCGGUGAAAUGCGUAGAUAUAUGGAGGAACACCAGUGGCGAAGGCGGCUCUCUGGUCUGUAACUGACGCUGAGGCUCGAAAGCGUGGGGAGCAAACAGG